rnacentral:rRNA from 1 species
UACGUAGGGGCCUAGCGUUGUCCGGAUUUAUUGGGCGUAAAGAGCUCGUAGGCGGUUCGGUAAGUCAGGUGUGAAAUCUCCACGCUCAACGUGGAGGCGCCACCUGAAACUGCCGUGACUCGAGUCCGGUAGGGGAGUGUGGAAUUCCCGGUGUAGCGGUGAAAUGCGCAGAUAUCGGGAGGAACACCAGUAGCGAAGGCGGCUUGCUGGGCCAGUUCUGACGCUGAGGAGCGAAAGCGUGGGGAGCGAACAGG